UGGGAGGCAGAUACCUGGGCAGUCCGAAGCGGUGCGCUGUCCAUCACUAGCCCUCCCUAUAGUAUCCUUGCUCUCUGAUGACUGUGGUGAGAUGAGAGAAAUCACCACAGACAGAUACGGAGCAGACAUCU